GUCCUUACCUGGCAGGGGAGAUGCCAUGAUCAGGCAGGUUGUUUUUGCAGGGCAAGCCUCAUCCCCUGCAUUCCAGAUGUGCUGAUCCCUGUAAUUUCCCCAAAUGUGGGAAACUUGACUGCAUAAUUUGUGGUAGUGGGAGACUGCGUUCACUCU
rnacentral:snRNA from 1 species